rnacentral:rRNA from 1 species
GAUGAACGCUGGCGGCGUGCUUAACACAUGCAAGUCGAACGAGAAAUGUAGACGGAAACCUUCGGGCGGAAGCCUUCAUUUCGAGUGGCGGACGGGUGAGUAACGCGUGGGUAACCUGCCUCAUACAGGGGGAUAACAGUUGGAAACGACUGUUAAUACCGCAUAAGACCACAGCAUCGCAUGAUGCGGGGGUAAAAACUCCGGUGGCAUGAGAUGGACCCGCGUUCGAUUAGCCAGUUGGCGGGGUAACGGCCCACCAAAGCGACGAUCGAUAGCCGAUCUGAGAGGAUGACCGGACACAUUGGGACUGAGACACGGCCCAAACUCCUACGGGAGGCAGCAGUGGGGAAUAUUGCACAAUGGGGGAAACCCUGAUGCAGCGACGCCGCGUGAGUGAAGAAGUACUUCGGUAUGUAAAGCUCUAUCAGCAGGGAAGAAAAUGACGGUACCUGAGUAAGAAGCCCCGGCUAACUACGUG